CCCCUCUCCUCUCUCACUCUCACACACACACACACUCACAAACACUCUCUAGGACAUCCUAGGCUUAGUUUCUCCAAGAUUUUAAGCUACACAUUCAGAAUGGGCGGCAACGGUGGUGGCAAAGGAGGAGGAAGUGGUGGCAAAGGAGGAGGAAAUGGUGGCAGUGGAGGUAACAAAGGAGGCUGUGGCACUUGCGGUGGUGCAACCAAAAGUGGUGGGGUUGGCUCUGUGGGCAGUGGCAGCGGUGGCAGGAUGGUUGCUCCAGGGAGUGGAGGAGGAUCACACAUUUCAAGGGACUCUUUUCAAAGUCAUCCCCAGAUUUAUUUUGAUGGACUGCAUGUUGGUCAAAAGGGAAAAAAAUAAUGAUGUUCUUGUUAGGAGCUACAUGGGAAACUAUCUUAUUAAUUCUGCUUUAUGGAUAUUAUAUAUAAUAUGUGAUUGAAUAAAGUUAAAGUUUAUAAUGGGCUUGCUAUCCAUAUGAAUCAUGUGCUUGUUAGACAUAUGAAUCAUAUGGUUGGGCAGAUAGCCUUCUUAGAUUGUGUGAUGAAAGUAGUAAUGUGUGCUGUGUAACAUAUGGUUUUUGUUAAUAAAAUAGUUUUAAUGUCCUA